CCGCUGUGUGUUACAAGUGUCACACGGAACUGCCGGUCAUAAACCGGAGGAAGGUGGGGAGUGACGUCAAGUCAGCAUGGCCUUUAUAUCCUGGGCUACACACACGCUACAAUGGGAAAGGGACAAUAGGUUGCGAAGCCGCGAGGCGGAGCCAAUCCAGCAAAACUUCCCUCAGUUCAGAUUGCAGGCUGCAACUCGCCUGCAUGAAGUUGGAGUUGCUAGUAAACGCAGGUCAGCCAUACUGCGUUGAAUACGUUCCCGGGGCUU
rnacentral:rRNA from 1 species